GGUGUAGGUGAGUCCUCAUGUCCACGGUGUAGGUGAGUCCUCAUGGUGUAGGUGAGUCCUCAUUACCACGGUGUAGGUGAGGCCUCAUGGUGUAGGUGAGUCCUCAUGGUGUAGGUGAGUCCUCAUGUCCACGGUGUAGGUGAGUCCUCAUUACCACGGUGUAGGUGAG